CUACGUUUUAAUAUUAAUCGCAACGACAAAACUGUAUAAUCAAUCAUAAAUCAAUGCAAUAAAUUGCAUAAUUUGCGAAACAAUGUAAGCUUGCACUUCUCGGCAUAAUUAUUGUGCUUAACGGUAAAUCUGUAUAAAUUUCACUCGAUCACAUUCACCGCUCCGCACUGAGGACUCAACAACACACAGAGCGCGCACUUUCUUCGCUUGAACUUCGCGCGUUCACUAAUCGGCGAUGUGUAUGGCAAUCGGGCAUUGACAACAACGACGUGUUUUGUAAACAUAGCAAACUUGAGCCGACAAACACCUUUACAUAUGGAAAGAGGAGGACACAAUUUGCCGUCGGUGUUUCUGCACGCAUAUUCCUUAAAGCAACCAAUCACAUAAAAUUA